rnacentral:rRNA from 1 species
AUGGCGUUGCGAGGGGGCCGGAGGAGGCCAGGGCGUUCCCCUGCACUCUGUGGCGGCGCCGUCUCCGCCCCCGCCUCCUCCCCCGGUGCCCGUCACCAUGAGGGAGUCUUGUACGCCAAGAAGGACUACAACCUGGCCAAGCACCCCCAGGUCGAUGCCUUGAACCUCGAGGUCAUCAAGCUCAUGCAAAGCUUCAAGUCCAAGGAGUACAUCAAGGAGACCUUCUCGUGGCAGUAG